rnacentral:rRNA from 1 species
CUUUCGGCUUAACCGGAAAAUUGCCGUUGAUACUGUAGUUCUUGAGUAUGCUCGAUGUAGGCGGAAUAUGUCAUGUAACGGUGAAAUGCAUAGAUAUGACAUAGAACACCGAUAGCGAAGGCAGCUUACAAGCGCAUAACUGACACUGAGGGACGAAAGCGUGGGGAGCGAACAGGAUUAGAUACCCUGGUAGUCCACGCCGUAAACGAUGAUCACUAGACAUUGGCGACAUACUGUUCGGUGUCAAAGCGAAAGCAUUAAGUGAUCCACCUGGGGAGUACGCUCGCAAGAGUGAAACUCAACGGAAUUGACGGGGGCCCGCACAAGCGGUGGAGCAUGUGGUUUAAUUCGAUGAUACGCGAGGAACCUUACCUGGGCUUAAAUGCAGAACGACAGGCUGGGAAACCAGCCCUUCUUCGGACGGACUGCAAGGUGCUGCAUGGUUGUCGUCAGCUCGUGCCGUGAGGUGUCGGGUUAAGUCCCAUAACGAGCGCAACCCCUAUCACUAGUUGCCAGCGAGUAAUGUCGGGGACUCUAGUGAAACUGCCCGUGCAAGCGGUGAGGAAGGUGGGGAUGACGUCAAAUCAUCACGGCCCUUACGUCCAGGGCUACACACGUGCUACAAUGGCGCAUACAAAGGGCAGCUACCACGCGAGUGGAUGCUAAUCUCUAAAGUGCGUCUCAGUUCGGAUUGAAGUCUGCAACUCGACUUCAUGAAGCUGGAAUCGUUAUUAAUCGCGCAUCAGCCAUGGCGCGGUGAAUACGUUCCCGGGCCUUGUACACACCGCCCGUCAAGCCAUGGAAGCUGAGGGUGCCUGAAGUCGGUGACCGAAAGGAGCU